rnacentral:tRNA from 1 species
AGGCUCAGGAAUCGAAAUUCUAAUCCAAAUUUGCAGUUUGAGUGUCUGAGCC